ACGGGAGGUAGCAGUGGGGAAUAUUGGGCAAUGGGGGAAACCCUGACCCAGCAACGCCGCGUGAAGGAAGAAGGCCUUCGGGUUGUAAACUUCUUUUACCAGGGACGAACAAAUGACGGUACCUGGAGAAAAAGCAACGGCUAACUACGUGCCAGCAGCCGCGGUAAUACGUAUGGAGCAAGCGUUAUCCGGAUUUACUGGGUGUAAAGGGAGCGUAGACGGUCUGCCAAGUCUGAUGUGAAAGGUGGGGGCUCAACCCCCAAACUGCAUUGGAAACUGGUAGACUAGAGUGUCGGAGAGGUAAGUGGAAUUCCUAGUGUAGCGGUGAAAUGCGUAGAUAUUAGGAGGAACACCAGUGGCGAAGGCGGCUUACUGGACGAUAACUGACGUUGAGGCUCGAAAGCGUGGGGAGCAAACAGGAUUAGAUACCCUGGUA
rnacentral:rRNA from 1 species